CUAUACAUGCAAGUCGACGCGUUACCCAAUUGAUUGAUGGUGCUUGCACCUGAUUGAUUUUGGUCGCCAACGAGUGGCGGACGGGUGAGUAACACGUAGGUAACCUGCCCAGAAGCGGGGGACAACAUUUGGAAACAGAUGCUAAUACCGCAUAACAACGUUGUUCGCAUGAACAACGCUUAAAAGAUGGCUUCUCGCUAUCACUUCUGGAUGGACCUGCGGUGCAUUAGCUUGUUGGUGGGGUAAUGGCCUACCAAGGCGAUGAUGCAUAGCCGAGUUGAGAGACUGAUCGGCCACAAUGGGACUGAGACACGGCCCAUACUCCUACGGGAGGCAGCAGUAGGGAAUCUUCCACAAUGGGCGCAAGCCUGAUGGAGCAACACCGCGUGAGUGAAGAAGGGUUUCGGCUCGUAAAGCUCUGUUGUUAAAGAAGAACACGUAUGAGAGUAACUGUUCAUACGUUGACGGUAUUUAACCAGAAAGUCACGGCUAACUACGUGCCAGCAGCCGCGGUAAUACGUAGGUGGCAAGCGUUAUCCGGAUUUAUUGGGCGUAAAGAGAGU
rnacentral:rRNA from 2 species